GUGAGUCAUCGAAUCUUUGAACGCACAUUGCGCCCGCCAGCAUUCUGGCGGGCAUGCCUGUUCGAGCGUCAUUUCAACCCUCGAGCCCGACUUCCUUGCGGAGGACGGCUCGGCGUUGGGGGACGGCACACUCCCCCCGGCUCGCCGGGGACGCCGCCCCCGAAAUUCAGUGGCGGCCCUCGGAGGCGACCUCUGCGUAGUAACUCAACCUCGCAAAGGGAAGCUUCGAGCGGCCACGCCGUGAAACCCCAACUCUUUAAGGUUGACCUCGAAUCAGGUAGGACUACCCGCUGAACUUAAGCAUAUCAAUAAGCGGAGGA
rnacentral:misc_RNA from 1 species